rnacentral:rRNA from 1 species
GCUCCUGAAUUCAGCGGCGGACGGGUGAGUAAUGCCUAGGAAUCUGCCUGGUAGUGGGGGACAACGUUUCGAAAGGAACGCUAAUACCGCAUACGUCCUACGGGAGAAAGCAGGGGACCUUCGGGCCUUGCGCUAUCAGAUGAGCCUAGGUCGGAUUAGCUUGUUGGUGAGGUAAUGGCUCACCAAGGCGACGAUCCGUAACUGGUCUGAGAGGAUGAUCAGUCACACUGGAACUGAGACACGGUCCAGACUCCUACGGGAGGCAGCAGUGGGGAAUAUUGGACAAUGGGCGAAAGCCUGAUCCAGCCAUGCCGCGUGUGUGAAGAAGGUCUUCGGAUUGUAAAGCACUUUAAGUUGGGAGGAAGGGUUGUA